rnacentral:rRNA from 1 species
AUUGAACGCUAGCGGGAUGCUUUACACAUGCAAGUCGAACGGCAGCGCGGACUUCGGUCUGGCGGCGAGUGGCGAACGGGUGAGUAAUGUAUCGGAACGUGCCCAGUAGCGGGGGAUAACUACGCGAAAGCGUAGCUAAUACCGCAUACGCCCUACGGGGGAAAGCAGGGGAUCGUAAGACCUUGCACUAUUGGAGCGGCCGAGAUCGGAUUAGCUAGUUGGUGAGGUAACGGCUCACCAAGGCGACGAUCCGUAGCUGGUUUGAGAGGACGACCAGCCACACUGGGACUGAGACACGGCCCAGACUCCUACGGGAGGCAGCAGUGGGGAAGUUUGGACAAUGGGGGCAACCCUGAUCCAGCCAUCCCGCGUGUGCGAUGAAGGCCUUCGGGUUGUAAAGCACUUUUGGCAGGAAAGAAACGUCGCGGGCUAAUACCCCGUGGAACUGACGGUACCUGCAGAAUAAGCACCGGCUAACUACGUG